AAAUGAUAAUAGCAAACUUAUCGUAAGGUAAGGACGCAAAGCUAAAGGGUCUUUUGUGAAAACAAGAGAUAGCCAGUUACCAAA
rnacentral:ncRNA from 2 species